UGAGCAUCGACAGGGAUAGAUUAUUUUUC
rnacentral:piRNA from 1 species